AAAUACACACACACACAUUAUUGCUCAGGUGGAAAAAGAAUAGGGCAUAGGAAAUUCAAAUACUAGUUUUUAAUAUGAGUAACAUAGUUAUUUAUAGUUAUUUUGAGUCUCAAAGUUUGAGAACUUCUCAACAAUUGUGGUUGAUCGGCUUGGUAAGUUAGAACACCUGUCAACUUCUUAAUGACGUCACCUGAGUAGUUAAACAAGCAACCAAUGCUACAGAUUAACCACAUCCCGGAUUUUCUACUCAAUUCUGGCGUUUCUGUUGCCGGCAUGCCUUAUAACUUGUGGGUCGAUAAAAUAAGUACCACUCAAGUACUGGGGUCGUUGAGAUCCACUUGCCCCCUCCUCCAAGACUUCAAGCCUUAUGCCUAAAGUAGAAAGGACUAUUAAAAUUAUUGAGAUAUAUAAUACAUUAUAUAUAGAGAGGUCAACUUUGCCUUUCAUAAACCUAAUAUUGAAAACCUCAUUAAAUGUUCAAGUUCAUUUUACUACAACCUAAUGUUCAGUAUGCGAUUCAGAAAUCGCUAAAUCCCUAUAUGGUCUUCCUCUCGUUCACAUAGUAGAGUGGGGUUUUGUCCGGACCCCGUUGAGCACUGGAGCCAAUGCAAUCAACAAACCACCUCCCCCAAUAUUCCAAACCUUGUGCCUAUAGCAGAAAGAAUUAGUAUCGUUUUACUUUUAAUAACCCUGAAAUUAAUUUCGAUAAACCUGAAAAAGUGAGAAAGCGGGAAACUUCAGGAUAAAACGUUUUAGGUUCUCCAUUUUUUUAUUUUCUAAGUUGAUAAAAUAGUUUUGCUUUGAUAGUUUAUAUCUCGUCUCUUACUGGUUUCAGCCAGAAGCAGUGGCAAUGCUGGAGCACCGCUAUUUAAUACUCUGCACGGCAUUCAAAUGGAAUUCGAAAUCGCAUACACACAGCCAGGACUUCCUUUUUAACGUUCGUGAUUAAACCGAUCUGUUAAGGGCUGUGAUUUGACAGAAUCGUUAGAGUGCCGGUAUUUCUUCCGGCUCUUUACAUUCUGAAUUCAAAGUUCAAAUUCCACCGAGGUCAACUUGGCCAAAAUUGGAAAUUAUUAUAUUAUUAUUAUUCAAAAAGCGACAACUGGCAGAAUUAAUGGAGCAACAAGGAAGAAAAAAAAAAUGUUUUGCGGUAUUUCUUCUAGGCUUUUUAUGUUCUCAGUUCAGACCCAUAGAGGUCGGCAGUGCCUAAAUCAGAAAUUAUUAUUUUAAAGGUGGUGAAUAGACAGAGUUAUUACAGUAUCGGAAAAAAUAUUCUGCCGUAUUUCUUCCGAAUCUUUAUGUACUGUGUUCAAAUCCCACAUUGGUCAACUUUACCUAUCACCCCUGUAGGGAGGGGGUCGAGAAAAUAAAGUACCGGACAAAUACUGGGAUCGAUAGCAUCGAUGAAAACCAUUCUCUCAAAAUUACUGGCCUUGUGCUUAAAUCAGAAACCUUUAGAGUGGUGGUUUAGCAGAAUCGUUAGAGCGUCGAACAAAAUGCUAUGCUGGCCUUGUGCCUAAAUUAGAAACCAAUAUUUAAAGCAUCGUUGUCUCUCCAUGACUAGGUCUUUGGAUUUGACUGUGUAACCUUUCGAAGGAAUGCUGUCUAGUUCUUCAUAUAAAUAUAGCUAAACCUUGGGGUUUAAAUUUUCUGGGGAGGAGAGAGAAGGAGGGAACAGUUGAUUGAUACUUAUCGAUUUAUCGUCCUCGAAAGAAUGAAAGGUUAAGUCGACGCUGAUGCGAUUUGAACUCAGAAAGGGAUCAGAAAAAUAACAAUAAGGCCAGCAAUAUUAGGGGAAGUGGUAAAUCGAUUACAUCGACCCCAGUGUUCAUCUGGUACUUUGUUUAUCGCCCUCGAAAGAAUGAAAGGUGAAGUCAGCCAUGGCGGAUUUGAACUCGGGCCAUAAAGGCGGACGAAAUACUACAAACCAUUUUGUCCGGUGUGCUAACGAUUCCGCCAACUAGUAGUGGUUGUUGUUGUUUGAAAUAUAGGCACCGAAUUGGAAAUUUUAACAGGAGAAGGUUUGCCGGUACUUGGUUGGAAGUUUAUUGCAUCCACCCCGAAAAGAUGAAAGCCAAUGUCGACCUUGAUAGGAUUUGAAACCAGAAUGCAAGGAGCUGAAACAAAUACCGCCGAACGCUUUUUAAAAUUAUUAUUAUUAUUAAUUGACAAUUCUGUUAAUAAAUAAUAGAUUCUACUUUGAUUGGGCAGAUUUUAUAACCAAAGGUUUUUCAGCCAUUAUACUCGUUUUUUAAAUCAUUAUUUAUUAUUUUAGCAAUCCUCGUCUGAUAUAUUACUAUUCUAUCUUUUAAAAGAAAUUAUUAUUAUUAGUUAUAAGACGUAAAGUUGAGGUAAUUUAGCUUCUAUUUCUCGAAAGGUGAGCAACCGCAUAUGGGCUUUGUCGUUCAAUAAAACGAGCAAAACUUUUUUUAAUAUGAAGAAAACAUUAAAAAAUCAAAGAUGACAACCGUUUUGAGAGAUUAAUAUUUUUUUUCUUCGAUCAUUCACCUCCUGGUAUAUUUUAAAUAAUUUUAUCCACCCGUCUUAUAUAUUAUAUAUAUACACACACGAACGUACGGAUGGAUAGGUGUGUGUCUUUGGUGGUUCACAAAUGGUGUUGAGUUGUAACCCUUAAAGGGCAAUCUUUUGGUAUUUGUAGACGACGUCAUUCGAUCACGCAAAAUUCUUCCCUGACAUAAAGAGGCUAGGCUGAUAAAUAAUUAAAAAAAGGUCGGCGUGGGUGACGUCAUCUACUAAUGCCGAAGGAUUAUCCCGUAACCAAGCACUUCGCCAAAGAGUUCGAUAGAAUGAGUAACAAGCAUAAUUACCGGCGUCGAUUUGUUUUGUUUGACCCUGCAGUGGCGGUGCUCCAGCAUUGCCGCAGCCCACACACAUACGUGUGUGUGUGUGUAUGUAUGUGUGUGUUUAGACAAAUAUUGAAGGAUUCUCUCACUUUUGAUAUUUGAAAACCCGAAACAAAUUUCAGACGUGAAUCCCCUUAUUAAUAAUGAAACAAAAAAGAAAAAAAAAAGGAAAAACAAGAAAAACCCUUCUUCGUAUCCUUUCUGUUUCACACACACACACAGAGUUUUUUUACUUAGUUUUUAACCCUUAUCAUUUUCAGCUUUUGUCCCACCCCAACUUAAAUACAUUUUUUUCAAAAACAAAAACAAUUUUCUUUUACAUAAGAAAAGCUUGUGUGUGUAUGUUUUACAUUUUGUGUGUGUGUCUGUGUGUCUACAUUCAUUGUGUGUGUUCUACAUUUUAUGAUAAAUCUGCCAACCUUGACUCAAACCUGUAUGGGCGAAUCGCAA